rnacentral:rRNA from 1 species
CUACGGGUGGCAGCAGUGAGGAAUAUUGCACAAUGGGGGGAACCCUGAUGCAGCAACGCCGCGUGGAGGAUGACGCAUUUCGGUUUGUAAACUCCUUUUAUAUGUCAAGAAAAUGACGGUAGCAUAUGAAUAAGCACCGGCUAACUCCGUGCCAGCAGGCGCGGUAAUACGGAGGGUGCAGCGUUACUCGGAAUCACUGGGCGUAAAGGACGCGUAGGCGGGUUGGAAAGUCAGGUGUGAAAUCCUACAGCUUAACUGUAGAACUGCACUUGAAACUUCUAAUCUAGAGUAUGGGAGGGGGAGAUGGAAUUAGUGGUGUAGGAGUAAAAUCCGUAGAUAUCACUAGGAAUACCUAAAGCGAAGGCGAUCUCCUGGAACAUUACUGACGCUAAGGCGUGAAAGCGUGGGGAGCAAACAGGAUUAGAUACCCCCGUAGUC